rnacentral:rRNA from 1 species
GAUCUCUUUGUGGCCCGUUAUCGGAAUGAGAACAAUUUAAAUCCUUUAACGAGGAUCUAGCGGAGGGCAAGUCUGGUGCCAGCAGCCGCGGUAAUUCCAGCUCCGCAGGUGUAUAUCUAUGCUGCUGCGGUUAAAAAGCUCGUAGUUGGAUCUGCGUGCUCGGAACCGGUUGGCUCACUGAGUUCAAACUGGUCUCCGGCGCUUUAUUGGCUGGUUUUCCCUUGAUGCUCUUAACCGGGUGUCUUGGGUGGCUAGCACGUUUACUUUGAAAAAAUUAGAGUGCUCAAUACAGGCGCAAAGCCUUGAAUAGUGGUGCAUGGAAUAAUAGAAUAGGACCUCGGCUCUAUUUUGUUGGUUUUCGGAACGCGAGGUAAUGAUUAAGAGGGACAGACGGGGGCAUUCGUAUUGCGACGUUAGAGGUGAAAUUCUUGGAUCGUCGCAAGACGGACGACUGCGAAAGCAUUUGCCAAGAAUGUUUUCAUUAAUCAAGAACGAAAGUUAGAGGUUCGAAGGCGAUCAGAUACCGUCCUAGUUCUAACCGUAAACGAUGCCAACUAGCGAUCCGCAGGCGUUAAACAACGACCUUGCGGGCAGCUUCCCGGAAACGAAAGUGUUCGGGUUCCGGGGGAAGUAUGGUUGCAAAGCUGAAACUUAAAGGAAUUGACGGAAGGGCACCACCAGGAGUGGAGCCUGCGGCUUAAUUUGACCCAACACGGGAAAACUCACCCGGCCCGGACACCGUAAGGAUUGACAGAUUGAGAGCUCUUUCUUGAUUCGGUGGGUGGUGGUGCAUGGCCGUUCUUAGUUGGUGGAGCGAUUUGUCUGGUUUAUUCCGAUAACGAACGAGACUCUGGCCUACUAAAUAGUGGGCGGAUUCUUUCUGUCCGCAACACUUCUUAGAGGGACAAGCGGUGUUCAGCCGCACGAGAUUGAGCAAUAACAGGUCUGUGAUGCCCUUAGAUGUCCGGGGCUGCACGCGCGCUACACUGAAGGAAUCAGCGUGCUUUCUGACCUUGCCCGAAAGGGCUGGGUAACCCGAUGAAAAUCCUUCGUGAUUGGGAUAGGGACUUGCAAUUAUUUCCCUUGAACGAGGAAUUCCCAGUAAGUGUGGGUCAUAAGCUCGCGUUGAUUACGACCCUGCCCUUUGUACACACCGCCCGUCGCUGCCCGGGACUGAGCCGUUUCGAGAAGAACAGGGACCGUCGUUGAAGGGCCCUAACGGGCUUUUCUCUGAUAGAAACUGUUUU